rnacentral:rRNA from 1 species
CAGCCGCCGCGGUAAUACGUAGGUCCCGAGCGUUGUCCGGAUUUACUGGGCGUAAAGCGAGCGCAGGCGGUUAGAUAAGUCUGAAGUUAAAGGCUGCGGCUUAACCAUAGUACGCUUUGGAAACUGUUUAACUUGAGUGCAAGAGGGGAGAGUGGAAUUCCAUGUGUAGCGGUGAAAUGCGUAGAUAUAUGGAGGAACACCGGUGGCGAAAGCGGCUCUCUGGCUUGUAACUGACGCUGAGGCUCGAAAGCGUGGGGAGCAAACAGGAUUAGAUACCCGUGUAGUCCCUGUCUCUUAUACA